rnacentral:rRNA from 1 species
UACGGAGGGAGCAAGCGUUACUCGGAAUUAUUGGGCGUAAAGGGCGCGUAGGCGAUUUGAAAAGUCUUGUGUGAAAAGCCCCCGAGCUUAACUCGGGGAAGUGCACAAGAAACUGUUGAAUUUGAGUUCCGGAGAGGAAGGCAGAAUUCCCGGUGUAGCGGUGAAAUGCGUAGAUAUCGGGAGGAAUACCAGUGGCGAAGGCGGCCUUCUGGACGGAUACUGA